UAAAUGCAUAUUCUGGCACUAA
rnacentral:miRNA from 1 species